rnacentral:rRNA from 1 species
UACGGAGGGUGCGAGCGUUGUCCGGAAUCACUGGGCGUAAAGGGCGCGUAGGCGGUGGGAUAAGCGUGUGGUGAAAGCCCGGGGCUCAACUCCGGGUCGGCCGUGCGAACUGUUUCACUCGAGCACUGUAGAGGCAGGUGGAAUUCCGGGUGUAGCGGUGGAAUGCGUAGAGAUCCGGAAGAACAUCGGUGGCGAAGGCGGCCUGCUGGGCAGUGUCUGACGCUGAGGCGCGACAGCGUGGGGAGCAAACAGG